rnacentral:lncRNA from 1 species
GAGCAUAAGGGAACAGUAAAAAGGAGGAGGAAAAUUGAAUUUCAAGAAGAGAGCAUAAGGGAACAGAAAAAAAAAAAAAAGAGAAAAAAAUUCAAUUUUAAGAAGAGAGCAUAAGGGAACAAAAAAAAGAAAGGAAGAGAAAAAUCCAAUUUCGAAAAGAGAACGUAGAGGAACAGAAAGAAAAGGGCUUCGUGUUGCGCUCAUCCCUGGUUUUUAUAUCUCUCCUUUUCU